UCGUGCUAGGUGGGGCGUUAGCGGUGCCCUGUACUCGUAAUCCGCUCUAGCGAGACUGAAUGCUCUGUCGAGAUUGUUCGCAUGUGGCCUCUGGAGUCAGUAUUUAGAUAUUGAGAGCCUGGUCCUGCGCGGCGAGACCUCGUGAACUCCGUCAGGACCGGAAGGUAGCAGCGGUAAGCGAUAAAUCUCGGGUGCCGUGGGAAUACCGGGUUUGAGUCGGUAUUGGCAUUUAUGCUUCAAUCAGCAACCGAAACGGAGAUGCACGA
rnacentral:SRP_RNA from 1 species